UACGUAGGGUGCAAGCGUUAAUCGGAUUUAUUGGGCGUAAAGGGCGCGUAGGCGGACGAGAAAGUCAGAUGUGAAAUUCCGGGGCUCAACCUCGGAGCUGCAUUUGAAACUUCUCAUCUAGAGGGUAGGCGGAGAAAACGGAAUUCCACAAGUAGCGGUGAAAUGCGUAGAUAUGUGGAAGAACACCAGUGGCGAAGGCGGUUUUCUAGCUUACACCUGACGCUGAGGCGCGAAAGCAAGGGGAUCAAACAGG
rnacentral:rRNA from 1 species